CCUGGAAGACAAUGGGGUUCAGUCUGCUUCUCGCUAUUCCUCUGUUGCUUUCCUGAGGACUACGAAACUAUGCCCUUGGUUCAGUGAUGUCUCAGAAAGCUCUUGGAGGGAAUUGCAUUCUAUCCACAAGAGUGGAGCUGAAACAGCUGAGGCCUGGAGUUACUCCUAGUGGGAGCAUUCCAGACACAGGAACACAUGUGAAAACAGGAAGCCAAAGGAAUGUGGGGAGUGGAGAAACUAAAGGAAUGCUGACAUCCAUGGAGUGUCUGUUCAACUGUGUGGAAGGCAACAGGGAGCACUGGAGAAAGAAAUUAGCAGAGAAUUUUCUGAAUUUGUUCUAUGGCAUGAAGAGUUGAACUGAGACAUGUCAAAAAAAAAGAUAUGUGAAUGUACAGAUUUCGAAUUCAGAAAUGUUAGGACUGGGGAUGUAAGUUUGAAAGCGCAAGUAAAAACUAUUUUUAAAAUUUAUUUCCAUGUUUCUGAAAGAGCUCUUUAGACUACUUACAUUAGAAGGCCCUACAUAGCUAUUUCAUAACUCAGUGCUUUUCAGGCUUUAACAUGCAUCAAAGUCACCAAGGUACAGUAUAGUUAGGAAGAUAAAAGCUCUACAUUCAAUCUGCUUUGGUUUGAAUAAGCUUGGAGACUUUCUAGAAUAAACUUGGGCAACUUAGUCUUUGUGCCUCAGUUUUUUUUCUCUAUUAAAUGGAAGUAAUAAUACCUCAUUGGGUUUCUUGAAGACUAAAUUAAAAAAAAUAAGAACAUAAUUGAAUAAAUCAAAUAAGUUGAUUUAUAAUAAAGCCUUUAGGACACUUAGUGGCACUUAGAAAAUAGACAAAAAUGUUAGACUAGGCAUUAUUAUUUUCCAGAUAAUUUAUUAAAAUGCAGAUUUGUGGACCCCCAACUCAGGAUUUUCAUGUAAAUGUCAUGUUACAGGAUGGUGUGGACAUUUUCGUGUGGAUUUGGCUGUGUUUUAGACUGGAGAUAGAGGUGAUGAAUUAGAAUUCAGAGAUUCUUGUUAUAUUAAUUCUGGACCCACCACACUUAUUAAAUCAUAUGUGUUUUUUUGUUGUUCAAAUGCCAAAGAAUCUACAUUUUCAAAUAAACUCACCAAAUCUUAGCAAUGUUGAUCUAUAUCCAUGCUUGAAAGGAAUACUGUAACUCCGUGUUAGAACAAUCUCAGUGUCUCAGUUAUUACCAGUUGCUUUUUUGUUGUUGAUUUAUAGUUAUUAUGAAAAGAAGUGGGCAUCUGGAGGAAACUUUUACAUUUUCCUUAGAAAAAUUUUAAUAUAAAUUGCUGAGAAUUGGUAGCUCUCUGUUUAGUAUCACUAUUCUUUCUUCUUAGUUCAGGAAAUAUCCUGGUAGUUUUGUUCCUCUGAAAGUAGGAGAUGGGUCUCUCUUCAGCAUCUCUUCAGUCAACCAAGCACCUGUUUUUAUAAAAUAAAAGAAUGUUGUUUGUAUCUGGAUCAUUACUUAAAGUAAUAAAAAAACAUUGCCAAGCAGUGUAAACAUCAAUACCCAUGAAUUAUUAUUCUUUUAAAAUGUUGGCUAAAUUUACAUAUAGAUUAAACUUAGAAUUUAUGAAAUGUGAUUUUCUUUCAAUCUGAUGGCUUAAUGCCACUAGUGUUUUAUGGGUAAGGUCCCUGCACAGAAGGCUGUAUGUUUUUCCAUGUGACUGAGGACAUGGAAAACCACAUCGUUGGCAGACAUCAUGGCAUUAAAUUGCAAAUUGAAUUUGAGAGAGCAGAGAAAGGGUGUGUUGGAGAGUGACUGAGGGCUGGAAAUUAAACCUAUGUGGAGUGAACAUAUGCUCCUGAGAAACUCAUAGUGGAGCUUCCUCUUCUCAAAAGGUGGUUUACAGAGAGCAGAUUUCAUUAUUGAGGGCAUAUAUUUGGUACAGCUUUUGUUCACCACCAACUCAACUCCUUCUGUCUAGACAACAUGUCUAUCCCCUUUCAUGGAGGUUUAUUACCUGCACACAUGCACAUUCACACCCAACACCCCUAGGCUGGGUGGGCCCUCUCUUCUCACAUAGUCUGACUGUAGGUAGAAAUGAAACCAGACCCUCAGGCUUCACCUUUUUACUGCUUCAUGUGUUAAUGACUUUUACUUGCAACUUUGGUGACAGAAAAAUGUAACUUCUUUGGCAGACCCCCCAACUUUAAAUUACAAAUUGAUUUUGAGAUGCAGUGAAAGGAUGUGGCAGAGAGUGACUAAGGACUAGAUAUUAGAAUGAUGUGGAGUUAAUAUCUGUGACCUGAGAAACUCACAAUGAUCCUUCUUGCUUUCUGAUGAGGGUUUACAAACAGCAGGUUUAAUUAUGGAGGCCGUAUGUUUGAUGUCACUCUUUGAUCAACACUGAUUCAUCUUGUUUGGAUGGACAAGACUUUAAUCUCCUUUCCUGGAAGUCUACAGUCUACUGCACACACACACACACACACACACACUCACACUCAUCUCCCCAACCUAUCCUGACUCUUAAGUAAAACAGAAACCAGAUUCUUAUGUUUUCACCUUGAUUCUUUCAUGCUUUACAUCCCAGUGGCUUUCCCAUUGUGACUUUUUUUUUUUAGAUUAUUUAUUUAUUUAUUUGUCAGAGAGAGAGAGGGAGA